CCUCGCCUUCGCCUCGGACGUGAUCAAAUUGUGUGGACUUGAAAUCUAGUCCAGUCCUCAUAGUUGGAUUUGAAAUAUUACUUAAUAGCACAACGAGCCUUUCCAAAUAUUUUUAAGUAAUCUAUCGUUGGCUUCUUUUCGACUCUGGUAUAUGUCAUCAAAAGUUUCUAUCACAAAUUCCAAAUAUUUUUCCUGUUCAGAUUUUUCAGUUCAUCUCGAGCUUUGUUCGACAAUAAAAUUAUUUAAAUUCGAUUCACCUCCAGGCUCCACGAUUACGUUCUUUGUUCUUCGCUUGAUUUUCUGAUAAAUUAUCUUUCCAAUUCCUCUGACUUUUCCAUAAAACGCGUCGUCAUACGAAGCUUGUCUCUUCUUUCGGCAUGCUUGGAAUUUUUUUAGGUUUCUCGAUGGUUUUUUCGACCAACACCAUGACUCAAUU